GCCACAAAAAGGAUUCAAAAACAAAUCACCUGUAGGAAGGUGACAGGGAGGGGAAGGAGUUGAGGAAUAAUUUAUGAUAACAACAUCAACGCACAGCCCUGCCCCGUGAUGCUUUUCACUCUUGAGCAAAUCUGCGAACACUUGAAGUCAGACUUUGAAUUGUGUGUGUGUGUCUAUGUGAAUUUUUUUGGUAGCAGUUUCUUUGAAAAAAAAAAGGGAAAAUAAAACAUGUCGUGUUUUUCCUCCCUUUUCUCAUUUGAUUCAGUGUGGAGUUGAAAACAUCGGAAGAGAAGAGUCUCAUAAUGGAAAUCCAUUGUUCUCUAAGGCCCUGGCUGACUUGGUGCAUUCACACAUCCAGUCAAACGAGCUGUGCUCCAAGCAGCUGACACUGAGCUGUCCGCUCUGUGUCAAUCCUGUCUGCAGGGAGACUAAAUCCUUCUUCACCAACCAGCAGCUGUGACCCCCGCCAGUGGACCCUGUGGGGUUAGGUAAAUGCCCAACCUCUCGAUACCCCCGACGUGGAGAGGAUGUUGUUUAGAGAUCAAGGAAGGAAGUCACCCUUCCUUGAUAUAUAUACAGCCUUUGGGCACAAAUUGUGUGCUUUCUUGAGGAUUGGACUCUAUUGAUAGAUUUCUAUUUUUAUAUAACUAUACAGUAAGCAUUUAUGUUUUCUCUCCCUAUGUAUAAGUUACUAGUUUGGAAUGUCCACUAGGACCUUUAAUAAGUAAGUUAAAAAUUUAUCUUAUGAGACACACCUAUUUUAAAUACAGAUUUUGGCUUUAUUGCCCCAAACCCUCCUGAAAGGGUACAGAGAGCCCCCUUCGUGAGCUGUCAGUGUGAAUGAUUUCUUUUUAGUCUUGUGCAUAUAGUUGCUGUUUUUUGAAUGAACAUAGUUGAGUGUUUAAAAUGAAUUUGAAAAAGAAAUGUUACUUAACCUUUCCCCAAUCCCAUGGGUUACAGAAAGCUAGGGAGGCAAUGUGGUUACCUACAACGGCUGCUUUUGCCAGUGAGGCCAACAUUCAUUGGUCACCUUGGUAUUUGUGUGUGAAUCUUACUUUCCUCAAUGUAAAAAGGAAUCAAGUAUGCAUUUCAGAAGUGCCCUGAGAGUCCCCAUUUACCCAAUGCUAAUAAAAGUGUAGAAGUACAGUGUCCAUCAUAGGUGCCUUGGUGGGAGUCCGUGGUGCCACAGGGAAGAGGUUUCCGCUGCUUCCGGUGUCCAAGGACAGCACUGCUGGAAAGGCCAACAAUGAGCUUCCCCCUGGAGCUCCUCCUGGGACCUCGUGAGCCUUUCCACCUGGCGGCUUCUCUUUCAUAGUCGAAUGCCUUCUUUCUGCACAUUUGUUUUAAGAAUUCUUUUAUAAAGUCAACAGUGCUUUGUAACCUUGAAUGCUUCCAUAAUUUAUGUUUUUUUAUUAUAAAAAUUAUAUAGCCAUAUAGUGGGACAUGUGAAGAAUACAGAAAAGUAACCACUUUAAUGCAAUAACUAUUAUAAUAUUGUAUUUCACACCAGUCCUUUCCUGUAGAUAUUUUUAAUGGCAUUGCAACCUUAGAUUUGUGAGUGAAAAGUGUUUCUAAAAAUGCAGAAACAAUGUCAGAUCAGAAUCUGAUCUUCUAUAUUUGUAUUUAAAUGGAUUCAAGAUUCCUGGUGGUUCUAUGAAGAAUUUGUAAUGGUCACUUUCUCUUUCCUCCAUGCCCUGAAACUUUGUUCUUCAAAAGAGCAUUUCUUUGAUUUUUUUGUUAAGCAAGUUUUUAAAGUAGAAAUAUUAGAAUAUUGAUAAACCUUUUAUAUUGAGAACUGGCUGUUAGUAAAUAUUACAAUAUCAUUAAGGUUUGAACUAAGUUUGAUUCAUGCUGUCUGUUCAAUCAAAACUGAUCUAAAUUAACCAAAAUUAUUAAAUGUGAGGAACUUUUUUAAUACAGGGAAAGAAACGUAGCAUCCACUGGAGUUAAUAGUUUUCCUACAUCGAUGACAGCCCUCAUGAGUAGCAUCUACAUUUUAAAAUUUCAAAUAGGCUUUUCUGUUAGUUGAUUGGGUUUCUAGAGAAAGAUACAAGGCAUGGUCAAUUGUUUAGGGUUUUCCUCUAGCCUUUUCCAUCACCUUUUGGGGGGUUAGGUUCAUAGCAGGCUUUGAGUGACUCUCCCACCAUGAAGUGAAUUCUCUGGGUUAGUGGCCUGGUGCUAAAAGGCAGGUUAUUUUUGGAGCCACUCCCACUCCUUUAGGAAACUUCGCAAGGGUCUGCUUCAAUUCUUCAGUGACUUUAGAGGUGAAACAGUGUUUUUAUAGAGAUGAUGCAGAAAACUCCAAUUUAGGAGCCCUUGCAAGCAUAUCCGAAGCACUUAUGUGCUCAGGAAACUUCUGAAUUGAUAGUCCUGGGCUGUCUGGAAUAAUAUCCUUGAUACUGAGUUGGGACCAGACCAGCUUUUAUAGUGACAGACAAAGAGGCAUUUAUUGAGACCACUGCCUGUGGCAUUUGUUGCUCUAAGCAGUGUUACCUUUGACUGUUAGUAACCAUGGAUGGGUAACAGUCAUACCCUAGGCUAGCGUUUAGUAGGACAAAAUAUUUUUAGAGCUUUGAGAAUUGUCAUCCUGUUGGUCAACUUUGAAAUACAAAUGUUUGUCCUGGUAAUUAGCAAUGAACUGCUGGCAGUUUCUUCAAGCUGUGUAUGCACAGAUCUGACCUUUAAUUGAUGAAUCAACUUCUACAGAAACUUUGCAGGGAUGGUGUUGAUGAGGCAGUUUAGCUUGUCAGGGUGAUGAUAAGACCCAGGCCUCUGCAUGUGCAGUGCUCUUUUAAAGAGUACACAUUCUUAAACUACUUAACUUUUUAAAAAUCAAAAUAAAUUUUUGCACUCAAAACUUGCUUCAUAUCAGGAGAAAUGAACUCAUUGUGGUUUUGGUUUGUUUUUAUUUUUAUUUUUGUUUUUGAUGGAAUCUUGAUAUCUCACAGGCUGGAGUGCAGUGGUGCAAUCUCAGCUCACUGCUAACUGCACCUCCUGGGCUCAAAUUAUUCCCACCUCAGCCUCUCAAGUGCUGGGACUACAGGAGUGCAUCAUCAUGCCUGGCUACUUUUCUGUAUUUUUUGUAGAGAUGGAGUUUUGCCGUGUUGUCCAGGCUGAUCUUGGACUCCUGGGCUCAAGGGAUCCUCCUGCCUCAGUCGCCUAAAUUGUGGGGAUUACAGGUAUGAGCCUCUGCAGUUGGCCCUGAACUCAUUAUUAAAACCCCUUUAAAUGUGAGGCUGCGUGCAAUGCCUUACAUGUGUCAUCCCAAUACUUUGGGUGGCUGAGGUUGGAGAAUUGCUUGAGCCCAGCAGUUUGAGGUUGCAGUGAGGUGUGAUUGCACCCCUGCACUCCAGCCCAGGAAGACCCUGGCCCAAAAUUAAAAAAAAAAAAAAAAGAAAUACUGGAGAUUGGGUCAUUUAUAAAGAAAAAAGGUUUAAUUGAUUCAGUUCGGCAUGUCUAGGGAGGCCUCGGGAAAUUCACAAUCAUAGCAGAAGGGGAAGCAGUCAGGUCUUACAUGGCAGCAGGGGAGAGCAAGCAAAGUGGGGAAGAGCCCCUUAUUUAUAAAACCUCAGAUCUUGUGAGAACUCACUAAAACAAGAACAACAUAGGGGGAACUGUCUCCAUGUUCCAAUCCCCUCCUACCAGGUCCUUCUUUGAACAUGUAGGGAUUAUGGGGAUUAUAAUUUGAGAUGAGAUUUGGGUGGGGACACAGAACCAAUCACAAGUCAUUCCACCCUGCCCUUCCCAAAUCUCACCUCAUUUUCACAUUUCAAAACCAAUCACUCCUUCUCAACAGUUCCCCAAAGUCACUCCACCAUUAACUCACUCCACCAUUAACUCAAAAGUCCCCCAACGUCUUAACUUAUUCCACAUUAACCCAAAAGUCCAAGUCCAAAGUCUCAUCUGAGACAAGGCAAAUCCCUUCUGCUUGUGAAGUUGUAAAAUUAAAAGCAAGUUAGUUACUUCCAAGAUACCAUGAGAAUAUAGACAUUGGGUAAAUGUUCCCAUUCCAAAUGGGAGAAUUGGCCAAAGUACAGGGUCUACAGGCCCCAUGAACCACUGAACUCUCCUGUGCAAGUCUUAAACCCGGCAGGGCACUCAUUAAAUCUUAAAGCUAUGGAGUAAUCUCCUUUGACUCCAUGUCCCACAUCCAGGUCAUGCUGAUGCAAGAGGUAAGCUAAUAUUUCUUAUAAAUUGGGUACUUAAUUAGAGAAACCAUAACUUAAGGCAUGGAAAAGAGAUCCUUUGCUCAAUCUGAAGCCACUGUGUUUGUCCAAGGUAUAUUAUUACUCACAAAGGGUGAGAGAUUAUGCUGCAGCCACACCCCAAGUGGAGUGAGCAGCAAGACCUGCCUUUGCUCAGAGUAUAGAUGAGCGGGGCACUUGCAUUCCUGGGGGCUCUGCUUGCUAUGUGAGUUCCUCUCGAUGCAGCAAAGGACCACCUCGUACAGUGACAGUUGGAGGGCACAAUUUAAAGCUGGCAGCCGUAAGAAGGCAAAUGUCUGCGUGUGUGCCCGGGGGCAUGUGAAGGUGCAGGUGCAUCAGCCAGGAGCCUCUGAUUCACCUCUAACCUUCUCACCUCUAACCUUCUCCCCUAGAACCCAACUCUUCAGCAGAUACUGUGCUGGUAUCCAACCCUUCAGCGGAUACUGUGUUGAAGAGCUGGAUGUCCCCACCAUCCUGGGCCUUUAUAAAACUGAUUUUGGACUAAAACCAGGUCUUUCACGUAACUGCUCAGGGUCCCAUCCUCCUGCACUCACCUGAUACAGCAGGGAUGACUUCAGCAGGAUUUGGCUGCUAAUGUGUGGGAAGCUUACCAUAUUCUUCUUCCCCUUAGUGUCCACAAUGGGGAGUGAAGUAACCCUGGUGUUCUAAGAAGGAGAAAUUGGAUACAUUACAAAAGCCUUUGGCAAGAAAAUGUCCACAGGGGUUGUUUCUUCUAGCCACCACAACCCCCAUCAAGAAUGAGCCUAGGCCGGGUGCAGUGGCUCAAGCCUGUAAUCCCAGCACUUUGGGAGGCUGAGGUGGGUGGAUCACGAGGUCGGCAGAUCGAGACCAUCCUGGUCAACAUGGUGAAACCCCGUCUCUACUAAAAAUUACAAAAAAUUAGCUGGGCACGGUGGCGUGUGCCUGUAAUCCCAGCUACUCAGGAGGCUGAGGCAGGAGAAUUGCCUUAACCCAGGAGGCAGAGGUUGCGGUGAGCUGAGAUUGCGCCAUUUGCACUCCAGCCUGGGUAACAAGAGCAAAACUCCAUCUCAAAAAAAAAAAAAAAAAAAAGAAUGAGCCUAACCCAAAUCUGGACAUAAUGCUAUUCUUAAAGUUCUUGGCAAGGAAAGCAGAUUCCAGAGCAGCAGAGUCAACAACUACCUGGGCUCUGGGUUUGAGUCCCUGCUGUACUCCUUACUAGCUGUAGGCUUUCAUCAGGUCACAUUGACUCUUUCUCUAAACCUCAAUUAUUUCAUCACUACCAUGGGAACAAAAAUGGGGCACCUCAUAAGGCUUUUGUGAGGUAAAUGAGUCCAUCUCUGUGGAGUAUUCUGUAAGUGGUGGCCAUUAUCAUUAUUACUGCAAUAUCUUCCCACCCAAACACAGGGAAGUCCUUCCUGUUAUAUCAUACAAAUCUUCCUCAGUGCAACUUAAGCUUCCGUUUCCUAUAUGACUACAUUAUUGAUUUGACCGACUCUCUUGGAUCCCUGCCCUCAGGCACUGAUUGAUUGACUGACUAAUCAGGAGAGUGGUCACAAUAGCUACAAUUUAGAAGCAACCUAAGUGUCCAUGAACAGAUGAGUGAAGAAAUGUGAUAUUUAAACACAAUGGAAUACCUGUUCAGUCAUAAAAAGGAAUGAGAUCCUGUCAUUUGCGACAAUAUGGUAACACAAAGGAUAAAUGCUUGAGGGGGUGGAGACCCUAUUCUCCAUGAUGUGAUUAUUACACAUUGCAUGUCUAUAUCAAAACAUCUCAUGUACCCCAUAAAUAUGUGCACCUACUAUGUAUCCACAACAAUUAAAAUAAAAACAUUUUUAAAAAUCAUGU